UGGGGAAUCUUGCACAAUGGGCGAAAGCCUGAUGCAGCCAUGCCGCGUGAGUGAAGAAGGCCCUAGGGUUGUAAAGCUCUUUCAGUAGUGAAGAUAAUGACGGUAACUACAGAAGAAGCCCCGGCUAACUUCGUGCCAGCAGCCGCGGUAAUACGAAGGGGGCUAGCGUUGUCCGGAAUUACUGGGCGUAAUGAGCACGUAGGCGGACUGAUAAGUUGAGGGUCAAAGCCCAGGGCCCAACCCUGGAACCGCCUUCAAAACUGUCAGUCUUGAGAACGGAAGAGGUGAGCGGAAUUCCUAGUGAAGAGGGGAAAUUCGUAGAUAUUAGGAAGAACACCGGUGGCGAAGGCGGCUCACUGGUCCGAUACUGACGCUGAGGUGCGAAAGCGUGGGGAGCAAACAGGAUUAGAUACCCCUGUAGUCC
rnacentral:rRNA from 1 species